UCCGGUUUGGCACCGGCAGUCUCUCAUGAGUCCCCGACAUGACUCGCUGGCAACAUCGGACAGGGGUUGCGCUCGUUGCGCCACUUAAGGCAACACCUCACGGCACGAGCUGACGACAGCCAUGCAGCACCUGUGCGGGCUCCCGAAGGAGGACCGUGUUUCCACGGCUUCACCCCGCAUGUCAAGCCCUGGUAAGGUUCUUCGCGUUGCGUCGAAUUAAACCACAUGCUCCGCUGCUUGUGCGGGCCCCUGUCAAUUCCUUUGAGUUUUAGCCUUGCGGCCGUACUCCCCAGGCGGGGAACUUAAUGCGUUAGCUUCGGCACGGAAUCCGUGGAAGAACCCCACACCUAGCGCCCAACGUUUACGGCGUGGACUAC
rnacentral:misc_RNA from 1 species